AACGAACGCUGGCGGCAUGCCUAACACAUGCAAGUCGAACGAGACCUUCGGGUCUAGUGGCGCACGGGUGCGUAACGCGUGGGAACCUGCCCUUAGGUUCGGAAUAACUCCCCGAAAGGGGUGCUAAUACCGGAUAAUGUCUUCGGACCAAAGAUUUAUCGCCUUUGGAUGGGCCCGCGUUGGUUUAGCUAGUUGGUAGGGUAAAAGCCUACCAAGGCGACGAUCCAUAGCUGGUCUGAGAGGAUGGUCAGCCACACUGGGACUGAGACACGGCCCAGACUCCUACGGGAGGCAGCAGUGGGGAAUAUUGGACAAUGGGCUAAAGCCUGAUCCAGCAAUGCCGCGUGAGUGAUGAAGUCCUUAGGGUUGUAAAGCUCUUUUACCCGGGAUGAUAAUGACAGUACCGGGAGAAUAAGCACCGGCUAACUCCGUG
rnacentral:rRNA from 1 species